CGGUAGAACGCAGCAGAAUGUAACGAACUUCCACGAGUUGUUGAUAUUGUAACGCCCGUGAUCCGUUUGUGAUUUUCGAUUAAGGAAAUAACGUGUCGAUUCCGCUGAUCGAACGCUUCAUCGAAAUAUUAAAUUUGACAUUAAAAAUGAAGUUUUCCAUGAAAGUGUUGCUCGCGCCGGCGUUAUUAAUUUUGAUCGUUUUAUCACCAGCGAUUUGUGAAGACGUGGAAGAUGAAGACUACAAAGACUACGAUGAUCCAUGGGGUGGUGUAUGGAACAGUACAGAUUCUGGUGUACCUAAUAUAACUUAUACUGACGGUCAUAUCAUAAGUUUUCCAGAUAUAUCACAGAAAUGCCCAGAAAAUCAACGGCCAGACAAAGAUGGGAGAUGUCGAGUAGCAGAAUAAUUUCGUUUACUAAGGACACAUACAAGUAAAUAAUUGUCUUACAUACGGUAGCUACGAGAAAGAGUAAUAAUCGUCUAAAGGAGAAUAUAAAUAGCAGGUACGUCGGUGGAACGCGACAGAAUGUACUAAACUUCCACGAGUUGUUGAUAUUAUAACGUCCGUGAUCCAUUGUUGAUUUUCGAUUAAGAAAAUAAGGUGUCAGUUCUGCCGAUGCUUCAUCGAAAUAUCGAUAUUAAAAAUGAAGCUUUUCUUAAAAGUAUUGCUCGCGUUCGUGUUGUUAAUCUUGAUCGUUUUAUCACCAGCGAUUUGUGAAGACAUAAAAGAUGGAGACUACGAAGACUACGAAGAUGAAUGGGAUUGUAUACAUACAGAUCAAGAUCCAUCGGCUGAUGUGUCGAAUACAAUAUAUUCAAAAUACGAGAAUACACUGUCGAAAAAUUGUUGUGUUGGUGAUGGUAUCAUAAGUUUUCCAAAUCUACCAUCAUGCCCAGAAAAUCAACGGCUAGACAAAGAUGGAAAAUGUCGAGUAGUAGAAUAAUUCGCUAAGAACGCAUAAACAAGAAAAUUGCUUCAUAUAUGAUAGCUACGAUGAAAAGCACUGCUUGCAUAAUCGAAGGAGAUUAUAAGUAGCAGCGAUUUUUGAAGACGUGAAUGCUGGAGACUAUGAAGAAGACCAAGAUGAAUGGAAUUGUAUAUUGAAUAUUACAGAUGAAUAUCCACCGAUUACUCUAAAUUCCCAGAGUAGUUUGUGGAAAAUUGGUUGGCUUGGCAAUUCUCUGCUAUAUUUCCAGGUCUAUUUUACCAAUAAAAUCAGACAAAGAUGGGAGAUGUCGAGUAGAAUAAUUGCAUUUGCUAAGGACACGAAACUUAAACAGACUGGGACAGACUGUGUAC